rnacentral:rRNA from 1 species
GGAGGGUGCAAGCGUUGUCCGGAUUUAUUGGGUUUAAAGGGUGCGUAGGCGGCCUGACAAGUCAGUGGUGAAAUCCCCCCGCUCAACGGGGGAACUGCCAUUGAAACUGUAAGGCUUGAGGACAGUCGAGGUAGGCGGAAUUUAUGGUGUAGCGGUGAAAUGCAUAGAUACCAUAAAGAACACCGAUAGCGAAGGCAGCUUACUAGACUGUACCUGACGCUGAGGCACGAAAGCGUGGGGAGCGAACAUGAUUAGAUACCCUGGUAGUCCACGCCGUAAACGAUGAUCACUGGAUGUAUGCGAUAGACAGUAUGCGUCUGAGCGAAAGCGUUAAGUGAUCCACCUGGGGAGUACGUCGGCAACGAUG